UGAUGAUGACGAUGAUGAUGAUGAUGAUGAUGAGGAUGAUGAUGAUGAUGAUGAAGAUCAAAGUCAAUUUCAUCAUCAUCAUAAUCAUCAUAAUUA
rnacentral:pre_miRNA from 1 species